AUUGAACGCUGGCGGCGUGCCUAACACAUGCAAGUCGAGCGGUAACAGGUGUAGCAAUACAUGCUGACGAGCGGCGGACGGGUGAGUAACGCUUGGGAAUCUGCCUAUUAGGUAGGGGGACAACCCGGGGAAACUCGGGCUAAUACCGCAUACGCACUACGGUGGAAAGCCGGGGACCGCAAAGGCCUGGCGCUAACAGAUGAGCCCAAGUCGGAUUAGCUAGUUGGUA
rnacentral:rRNA from 1 species